CUAGCAAGUGAGCUUUUUUCUCUGUACAAUUCUAAAGACUUCAUGCCAACUUAUGCAAACAGAAAUGGUCUUUUUGAUUAUUUUUGUGACUUUUUUUACUAUCUAAGGUCGGUCCUUUAGAUAGUGAGUUUUGGACGUGUCAAAUAGAUGGCGUGAAAGAAUUUUGUAUUGAUAUUGCUUAUGGUGACGGCUCGUUGUCAACACUCAACAGUUCAGCUACAGCUAUUUUCUUCGACAAUUACAAAGGAAUUCUUAUGAAAAAAUGUGUAAGGGACAUGCAGCUUAGUGUCAACUAUUGUGUUAUAAAUCCUAGUAUUCUACUGAAUAUUUCAUCCAAAUGACAGAGAUUCAUCAUAAUUAUCAGCUGAUUUUAUUGCACUUGCAAGAUCACCUAGAAUGGACCAAUCUCUCAUUCCAUCUUCUAGAGAACCUUGAAUAACUGAUUGGUGGUUUUGUGUG